rnacentral:tRNA from 1 species
GGAGUAAUACUCAAGUUGGUGAAGAGGCGUCCCUGCUAAGGAUGUAGGUCGGGAAACCGGCGCGAGAGUUCAAGUCUCUCUUACUCCG